AAAUUCCUAGGGUAGGUAAGAGACAGUGAGAUCAAUAUGCAAACUCUUGUCUGAGGGCCUGGCUUGGUAAAUGUAAGUUCUUUUUUCUUAUCUUCUCCUUCAGGAAAACAGAAGGGGAACUGACCAUAGAAGGGAGAGGGUCGGCAGCCCAUCGGCUUGGCUGGCAGUGGAUCUAAACUGGCAGAGGACUCAUAGACCUCCCAUUUGAAAAGAAGGCACAUACGCUUCCUUCACUGCCGGAAAGGGAGAUUCCAUGGCCUCCCAUGCCUCUCGGGCAUACAGUGUGAGGCAUCCUGGUGUUUCUCCAAGACUUCCUGUCAGAAGCUGUGGAUAUUGGUGGGUCACACCAUGUCUGACUAGACUCUGGCAUUUGUCCUUGGGAUCAUCUCUUUAGAUGAGGAAGAGGGGCCAGAAGAGGAUUGUUCCUUUACAGUCCAAGAACCCCCUCCUUUCAAUGAAGGCAGCAUCUGGCCUUCCUCCAGGUCAGGGACCUCUCUGCAGCAGAGGGCGGAGAACCAGUCCCUCAACUGGACAAUCAACCAGCGCAAAACUAAUUCCAAAACUGCUUUCAUCCACCCCAUCCAUCAGCUCCCCCCGCUCCUGCCUUCCACCACCUCCAAUACAGACUGUGCGUGGAGAAAACAAAUUCACUUGACUGUCAGUGGAGGCCAAACAGGGCUUAGAAUGGGAUCUGUCCGCAAAAACAUUAUGGGCCCUGGAGCCAAAUUCUCUGACAUUCGCAGGAUGGCUGCUUUGGGUUCCUGGUGCGGCAGAGCUCGGACUCAGAGGAGGAGAAGGGGGUUUUGCAGGCUGUGCUCUGCACCCUUAGGGGGAAAAGAAGCUGCUCAACGGGGAGUUAAGAACUGAAAUCCACACCAACAAAGCAAGAUCUUGUCUGAGAAGACUCAGACAUUCCUGAUUGGUAAUGAAGAGCAUUCCCAAGGACAACACUGGUAGAAGAAAGGAGGGUUGGAGGAUUCUGUGAUGCGCCCCCAGCCUCAGAGAUCAGCUGGCUGAAGCAAAACAGGGCUUGGGGAGCCUGUGUGCUCCCCUCCCUGCAGCCACCCUGGGUUUCCAACAUUCAGAGUAGCUGCCCUGUGUGUGGGGCUAAAUGCACCAACUCCAGGCUGAGAAAGGCCAGCUGAGCCCCUUACCAUCCCAAUUUCCAGAUCUCAGGGAAAUGCCACAGUCUGCAAGUUGGUGCUGUGUUUCAUCUCAUUGCAUAAUACUACACCAUUCUCCGUGUGUAGCGGCUGUUCUAUUUAUAUACAUCGGUAGGCAACAUAUGGCUCUCCCCACCCCCACCUGUCAAAACUGUGACUACAUCACUUCUGACGACCAGAAGGAAGCUGCUAGGCUGGGCCAGGAUUCUAAAUGCUGCGGAGGUAAUUCGGAGCCAUGAGAAGUUGCACCAUAUGCUUUGGGGUUGCCGGCUGCUUAUGUGCAUGGGGACGGGGUUCAGUGCCAGUCUGAAAAACCCAGGAAUGGACCUCUCCUCGCUGCAGCAUGCACCGGGCGAGGGUCUGGGGUGCCACUUUCUCUCGCCCAGGAGGACAAUCUGCCGGGGCCCACGGUUCUUCAAGAGGGGACCCAGGAGGAAAACAGGCUCCCCCAAAACCUGCCCUGGAUAACAUCAGGCCUGGCCAAAUAGUAUUUCUUUUAAAAAAAAAAAAUUUUUUUUUUUUUUUGUUUGAUUUUAUUGGGUAAAGAUUAAGAAAGCGCCAGCGUCUGAGAGAAGGAAAGCAAACCACGGCCGGCGGCGCGCCAGCCUGCCGAGGGUCCGUGGCGCGGCCCGGCGGUCUACCUGGAGGCGCUGGUCUCCGCCAGCCGGUUGUUCAUGAUGCCCAGCGCGCCCACACCUCCGGAGAAGCCGUUCUGGCGCGUGUUGACGCACACGCUGCGCGGGUAGCCGUUGGCCGUCUCCGACAGCUGCUUCUGCAGCAGCGCCAACGACACCUUGUUGGAGGCCGUGAGGUCGCGCAUGGAGAUGAGCUCGCCCGACAGGCGGCGGCCCUCGGCGUCGCUGUCGCGGGCCGCGGGGUCGGCGCCGAGUGCGGCCAAGCGGCGGCGCAGCCGGGAGCCCGGCGUGAUGGCGUUGCGCCGCGAGAGGGGCGCGCCGGGCGCCGGGCAGCAGCGCGCGCAGCAGCGGCAGCUCAGCUUGCGCAGCAUCCAGUUGAGCACCUGCUUGAUGAGGAUGGAGAUGACGUUGAAGAGCGAGUAGAUGCAGCACACGCCGAGCAGGAUGAAGAGGAAGUUGCCCAGGCGGUAGAGCCCCUGGUUCCGGUAGGCGGCGUGCUGGCUGCUCACCAGGUCCCCGAAGCCGAUGGUGCUGAAGGUGACGAAGCAGAAGUAGAGCGAGUCCACGUAGUCCCAGCCCUCCACGCUGGUGUACAUGGCCGAGGCGCAGCACGAUAGCAGCACAGCGAACAGGCCCAGGAUCAGUAGCACGUGGUACACCGAGGGCUUCCAGCCGGCCAGGCAAUCGGCCUCUGAGAGCGCCGAGCCGCGGCGGAAGGUGGCGGGCAGCAGGCCGCUGCGGCGCAGCUGGCGCUCCCGGCAGGCGCGCAUAAUGAAGGCCAGCAGCGAGAUGAUGCGCUCCAGGAAGAGGUUGAAGAACAGGAUGGUCCCGGCGCAGCCGAACAACCCGUAGGCGAUGAGGAAGGCCUUCCCGCCCACCGUCGCGGGGGUGGUCAUGCCGAAACCUGGGGAGACAGGGCAGGGGUCAGCGAGGCCCUGGCUAGGCAGGUGGUGCCUGCUGGGUGGCGAGCCGGGCGGGCAUACGCAGGUGCUGCCGUGGCUUCUUCCCUGAGUGGCAUCACUCAGAGGAGGGGAGACGGUGCUUAGACAUUUCUCUCCCUUGGCGGCACUAGGCUUGGUUCCCGAUUUCGGGGCGAGGCCUAAACUGAUGGAGGAGACACACCCCUUGUCUUGGGGAUCUGUAGAUUGAAAUGCGUGGGGGCAGGAUGGCCACUAGGAAAGACCCAUAAAGACUCAGGAAAUGAAACCACUGUGCAGAUGCAGACCACUGAGAUACCUACAAAGCGACGAAGAGAUGUCACCUGCUCUCCCACCCCUCAAAUUGUUUUGUUUUUUGUUUUUGUUUUAAGGUAACCAAUGCACAUGUGGGCAUACUUAGGACAGAAUUCCAUAAAGGCUUCAUUUUAACCGGGGUUACUAGGGAUGGGGUAGAGUGUGUUCAGUCUGGGUAGCUAUGCAUGAUGGUCUCUAAAAGGGGGUUUAUGAAACUGACAAAAAGAUUGAGAAUGAGUCCACAACCUUCAGAGUGUGAGCUGGCUCCGUCGUUGAGUGUCCAACCUGGGGCCUAUCCCAGGACCCUUGGGUCAUGACCUGAGCCGACUGAGCCACUGAGGUGCCCUCAUCAAUGGAUUUUUGUGGGAGGCUUGACAUCCCACCAGUGUGCUCAGGCCCCUGCCAUCCAGGGCAGUGCAGCUCUGCCCCUCCCACCUGAGCUCUCAGCCCACUUCUGGUGUGGUCUCUUUGUGGGACCCAUGUUUGCCUCACUCUGGUUAUAGAAGGUACAAAGACUUUGGCACCAAGAUUCACUGCUGCCUGGAGUCUGAACUGGAAAUGGAUCAUCUGUCUGAACAAGCACCAUGGCACCUUUCAGCUCCUAUGCAGCAAAAAUUCAAGGGCAUCCCUGUGCAAUGUAUGCCCCCACGUCAGGAGGUCUGCCUGUGUGCUGCUACUGGUGGAGUGAACCAGUCCUGGGAACUGGGUGGAUAAGAGUUUUGUCUCACUUGGCUUACUAUUUCCUUAAAAGAGCCAGAGGAAAAAAUUUUUAUUUUCAGUAAUUCCUUAAGUCUAUAUACUAAUCAUUCUCUAGAUUCCCUGGAGGAAAUCUCAAUAGCCUAACCAUGGUCAUUUUCUGCUUAAUGACUUAAGUUAGGAGGAAAGCUUAUGACGAUACCAUGUUGAAGAAGAUGAAUUAUAUCCCUAGAUUCAGAUUUUGUCCACAAGAUGGUAAAAACAAAAACAAAAACACCAAAACUGUAUUAGCAGUGUGACCAAUUUAAUAGAGGGACUUUUCCACCAUCAAGGGGAGCCUGGGUGGCUCAGUCUAUUAAGCAUCAGCCUUAGGAUUGAGCCCUGAGUUGGGCUCCCUGCUCUGUUGAGAGUCUGCUUCUCCCUCUCGUUUUGCCCCUCCCCUGUCCAUGCUCGCCCCCAUCCACACCUCUCUUCCAAACAAAUAAAAUCUUAAAAAAAAAAAAAAUCUU